rnacentral:rRNA from 1 species
CAGCCGCCACGGUAAUACGAAGGGUGCAAGCGUUAAUCGGAAUUACUGGGCGUAAAGCGUGCGUAGGCGGUUUGUUAAGUCUGCUGUGAAAUCCCCGGGCUCAACCUGGGAAUGGCAGUGGAUACUGGCAAGCUAGAGUGUGUCAGAGGAUGGUGGAAUUCCCGGUGUAGCGGUGAAAUGCGUAGAGAUCGGGAGGAACAUCAGUGGCGAAGGCGGCCAUCUGGGACAACACUGACGCUGAGGCACGAAAGCGUGGGGAGCAAACAGGAUUAGAUACCCCGGUAGUCCCUGUCUCUUAUAA